UACGUAGGGUGCGAGCGUUGUCCGGAAUUAUUGGGCGUAAAGAGCUCGUAGGCGGUGUGUCACGUCGGCCGUGAAAACCUGCAGCUUAACUGUGGGCGUGCGGUCGAUACGGGCAUCACUGGAGUUCGGCAGGGGAGACUGGAAUUCCUGGUGUAGCGGUGAAAUGCGCAGAUAUCGGGAGGAACACCUGUGGCGAAGGCGGGUCUCUGGGCCGAUACUGACGCUGAGGAGCGAAAGCGUGGGGAGCGAACAGG
rnacentral:rRNA from 1 species